rnacentral:rRNA from 1 species
UUGGUGUUACUGCGAAGGGGGGACGGAGAAGGCUAUGUUGGCCGGGCGACGGUUGUCCCGGUUUAAGCGUGUAGGCUGGUUUUCCAGGCAAAUCCGGAAAAUCAAGGCUGAGGCGUGAUGACGAGGCACUACGGUGCUGAAGCAACAAAUGCCCUGCUUCCAGGAAAAGCCUCUAAGCAUCAGGUAACAUCAAAUCGUACCCCAAACCGACACAGGUGGUCAGGUAGAGAAUACCAAGGCGCUUGAGAGAACUCGGGUGAAGGAACUAGGCAAAAUGGUGCCGUAACUUCGGGAGAAGGCACGCUGAUAUGUAGGUGAAGUCCCUCGCGGAUGGAGCUGAAAUCAGUCGAAGAUACCAGCUGGCUGCAACUGUUUAUUAAAAACACAGCACUGUGCAAACACGAAAGUGGACGUAUACGGUGUGACGCCUGCCCGGUGCCGGAAGGUUAAUUGAUGGGGUCAGCGCAAGCGAAGCUCUUGAUCGAAGCCCCGGUAAACGGCGGCCGUAACUAUAACGGUCCUAAGGUAGCGAAAUUCCUUGUCGGGUAAGUUCCGACCUGCACGAAUGGCGUAAUGAUGGCCAGGCUGUCUCCACCCGAGACUCAGUGAAAUUGAACUCGCUGUGAAGAUGCAGUGUACCCGCGGCAAGACGGAAAGACCCCGUGAACCUUUACUAUAGCUUGACACUGAACAUUGAGCCUUGAUGUGUAGGAUAGGUGGGAGGCUUUGAAGUGUGGACGCCAGUCUGCAUGGAGCCGACCUUGAAAUACCACCCUUUAAUGUUUGAUGUUCUAACGUGGACCCGUGAUCCGGGUUGCGGACAGUGUCUGGUGGGUAGUUUGACUGGGGCGGUCUCCUCCUAAAGAGUAACGGAGGAGCACGAAGGUUGGCUAAUCCUGGUCGGACAUCAGGAGGUUAGUGCAAUGGCAUAAGCCAGCUUGACUGCGAGCGUGACGGCGCGAGCAGGUGCGAAAGCAGGUCAUAGUGAUCCGGUGGUUCUGAAUGGAAGGGCCAUCGCUCAACGGAUAAAAGGUACUCCGGGGAUAACAGGCUGAUACCGCCCAAGAGUUCAUAUCGACGGCGGUGUUUGGCACCUCGAUGUCGGCUCAUCACAUCCUGGGGCUGAAGUAGGUCCCAAGGGUAUGGCUGUUCGCCAUUUAAAGUGGUACGCGAGCUGGGUUUAGAACGUCGUGAGACAGUUCGGUCCCUAUCUGCCGUGGGCGCUGGAGAACUGAGGGGGGCUGCUCCUAGUACGAGAGGACCGGAGUGGACGCAUCACUGGUGUUCGGGUUGUCAUGCCAAUGGCACUGCCCGGUAGCUAAAUGCGGAAGAGAUAAGUGCUGAAAGCAUCUAAGCACGAAACUUGCCCCGAGAUGAGUUCUCCCUGACCCUUUAAGGGUCCUGAAGGAACGUUGAAGACGACGACGUUGAUAGGCCGGGUGUGUAAGCGCAGCGAUGCGUUGAGCUAACCGGUACUAAUGAACCGUGAGGCUUAACC